ensembl:lncRNA
GUUAGUUGGUUGAAUGGAGGACAGCCUGGUCAGAGUGGGGUCAACUGUGCCAAAAGAAGACAACAGUCAUCAGUUCCCUUUUUCUCCGGGCAGAAACCAGGACGUGACAUUAUCCAUGCGAGCAAGCAUCUCCGCUAAGUGGCCAGGCUGGACUUGAACUUGAGAUCCUCCCACUGAAGCCUCCGGAGUAACUGGGAUUACAGCCAUGUGUCUUCUAAUAAAAUCAAAAUCUUCAAGCCCAGCCAUGUCCCAGGCCACCUAUAUAAAAUUUUGGAACAUGGGUUGUAAGAAACAGAAUUCCUAGGAUUUUCCUGGUGACAUAUAUGAUGUUCUAUCAGGAAGAAGGUCAUAACCCAGGAAGCGCCUGGUUUCACAGGGCUGUGAUCCCAGCUGCUCAGGAGGUGAAUUCAGAACUGCAAAUUUGAUCUCACCUGGGCAAUUCAGGGAGACUCUGUCUCAAAAGUCAGGGGCCAGGGAUUUGGCUCAGUGGUGUCGGUGCCUGCCUGGCAAGCACAAGGUCCUGAGUUUGAUCCCCAUACCAAAAAAAAAAGUUAGAGUGUGUGGAGGGGCGGGGCACUCAGGGCUUCCUGAUGCAGUCUCCAGUAGCAGAGGAGGCAGUUGGACACUUCUGCUCCUGCAUGCUGUGUACUCACCGGAUUGAGGCAGGAGGGGGGAAAUAAACUAGGUAGAGAAGAGACAAAGAAAACCAUAAUUGGAUUGAGGCAGGAGGGGGGAAAUAAGCUAGGUAGAGAAGAGACAAAGAAAACCA